ensembl:lncRNA
CACAUUUGUCUGGGGUGGGGCAACAAUUUUACAUAUUUAGUGUUAAGCUAGAAGAUGCACCAAAGGGAGGUGAAAAACUGAAACCACCGACCGUUUGAGCUGUAGGCUGCACCGAAGCAGUGUGGCCGCUGCAGAUGGUGAGGGCCCGGCUGGCCCACUUCCUCCCUGCGUGCCGCGGGUCUUCCUCAUACCAGCCACUUCCCAAGGCUGCAGGAAGUGAGGCCAGGAAUACUUCAGGGUGUGUGUGGGGAGGUCUGGGCAGGGGUCGGCAGCUGCCAGGGUGAGAACAGAAGCCUUGAGGUCCUUGCUGGGUCCUGAGGCCACCUGUGCAGUAGACCCUGCCCUCUCCCUGCCUGGGCCUGCCCAGGAUGGGUUUGCAGCAGCCUCCCCACCCAGGCUCUUCUCUCCUGAGGUUGCAAGCUAUUGUACAAAAGGCAUCCAGCCCUAGAGAGGCAGGCUGGAGAGGAGCGCCAAAUCUUUUCUCAAAGGAAAUGCAGUUGUGGUUUUGAGACGUUCAUUUCACAUCUGUGGUUGGCGUUUCCCAGGGUUCUCAGAGGUGAAUGCAGGGUCAGCCUGAUGUCGCCAAAUAAGGUUCACCAGUGACCUUAGCAACAGGCUUCGCUGCCCAUUGGCUGCCACUGCUGCCGCCUGCCAAUGCGGUCUCUGGAGCACUGAAUGGUGUGGUGAAUGGACAGGGCAACAGAAUGAGCUCUACUCCACGUGGACGUCUUUGGAACAGCACACAAGAGUGCCACACUGGUUGCUGAACCACAGCUGUGACUGCAGACUGAGGAGCCGGGGAGGGAAUGGAAGAUAAAGACUGGUAUGCAGUUUAGAAGUGGAGGACAUCCUUUGACAUGGCACUACAGCCAGGGAAGAUCAACCACUGGUAGUGGCAACAGGGGCUGGAAGACACCACGGUCAAGGCCUGUCUGGACCUGAGGACAUCUGAAGGGACAGAAGGACAAAUGCAAAUGACCAUGCAUGGGACUCAGCCCCCAUAGGGCGCUGGAGUUUCCGUCCCAGGAUCCCCUCUUCAGGGAUGCCUGUGUUUGUUGAUUAUCUGCCGUAUGCCUGGCCGCUUCAGAAUACAAGGAAUAAAAUGGCCUUUAGUAGUGGCUGAGACAGGACCCUGUGGGAUGUACAAUAAGGAGUCUAAGGCCACAGGAUGAGGCUUUCCUGACUCUGUCUCCUAGAGGGCUGGCGUUUUCUAAGGUUGCAAGCCUGUUUUAUUCAUCCUGAUUUCCCUAGCCUGGAAUAGGCCGUGGAUGACAGUUAAUAAACGUUUGUUGUGUGAGCAAGUGUGUAGAGUCUAUGCUGGAGAGAAUAAGGGCUCUUUAGGUCCCAGAGGCAGCCCACCAGGCUCCCUGCUUCUCUGGUCCAUCUCCAGACAGCCCAGCCAGCUAGAGCGGGCUUCCUCAGUGGGUAGCCAGGGCUCUUGCCCACUGGCAGCCCAUCGCCUGUUAAAGACGACCCUCCUUUUUCUUCUCCAAGCUAAAUAUCACCAGUUUCCACAACUCUUUGUUUUAUAGCCCUCAGCAUUCUGGUUAUCCACUCUGGAGAGGCAACAGAAGUAUCCAGUUGCAGUCUGAACAGGCAGAACCAUGGAUGCAGAUGGAAAAUCCAGGUUUGUGUGCUUCGGCAGUCUGUGUAUUCAAACCGUGAUUGUGACAGCUGCUGACAUGACCUCAGACACGCAGGAAGGUUUGGGUUUGCUGCUGAUCAUCUUUCUUUGGUGUUUUCACAGCCUUUACAUAGACGCUUUUUUGAUGUAAAACCCCACGCUGCAGUCCUUGUCAUCAGUGUUAUAUUUCUCCUCAACUCUCCUGGAGACUUCCUGAGAGCUGGCUUGUGGUAGGCACUCCACAGAUGUUAGCUCAUAUUAUUUGCUUAAUUGUUUUAUUAUUUGAAUGAACAAUCAUGAAUUCAGUGUCCUUUAUUGAGCAGGUGCUGUGUUUCUGGCACUGCUGGGUGCCGGAAUUUAGCAAUGAAGAGAAUCGGCCUGGCCCUGGCCCCCAGAGCCCACAGACACUCUGGGAAGACCUGUUGAUUGAAUGAUAAACCCUGGUUGAACUUAUUGUGAUCAGCUCCCCCACCACCAGACAUUUAUUGGGUGCUUUCUUUGUGUUCAACUUGGAACACACCCUCCCUGCCCUCCAGUGCUGGGAUGUGGGAGUUGUUGAGGACGACACCACUGAGGGUGAAAAAACACUGGACUUGGAACCAACUGACUCGAGAUCAGGUCCUAGCACUGCCACAAAUCCACUGUGUGGCCAUGGAUGAGUUCACUUGACCUCUCUGAGCCUCAGUUAUCUUAUCAGUGAAAUGGGGAUAACAAUACAUCCUACAGGGGCAAGAGAGGAUCAAAUAGGGUGACCACACAGCACAACUCCACCUGUUAGUCUAUGCAGCUGCUGGUGACCUGGGAUUAACUGAGAGCACUUUUGCUUUGUGGCCUGAAGUUAACAGUCACUAAAUGGUAGCUGUUGUUAUGCACAAAUUAGAGGGAAGCAGGGGUUACUUCAGGCUAGCACGCUGCACAGGAUUUGGCCAGGCUUUGUUCUUCGAGGAAGGGCAGGGUUCUGAGAAGUGCAGAUUGUGAUGUAGGCAAAUCCCAGGAGGCUGGGACUCCCAGGGCAGGUCUAGGGGAAGAAAACCUGGUGAGGGAGGGGGGUCUCAACCUCAAAGCCUGAAUAAGGACUUCUCUAGGAACAGAGAAGCCACUGGAAGCUGGAUGUGGAGCAAGGAUGGGUGAGACGAAGGUGAGUAUUUUAAUUAUUGAGAUGCAAAGGAUCCUAGAGAGCAUUUUGUCUGACCAGGCCAACAGAGGCCAGGGAGGGAAAGUAGUGAGUCUCCAAGGUCCCACAGCAAGGACCAGGGCCAAGCCUCCCACCUGUGCAGAACCCAGCUCAAAUGACUCCUCAAGCCCAGUUGUGGCCCCACAAAAGGAAGUCCCUAGCACUUUUCAUAUAUACAUAUAUAUAAUUGUUUUCUGACUGUAAAAUUAUGAGUCAUUGUAGAGCAGUUUUAAGUUAUAGAAAUAUAAACAAGAAAAUAUCACCUAUAAUCCCACCACCCAAAGAUAAUCACCAUUAGUAUUCUGAUGCAUUUCUCCCAGUAGGUAUUCCACAUAAAGCCAUACAUUAAGGGCUGGCCCCAUGGCCGAGUGGUUAAGUUCGCGUGCCCUGCUUCGGCGGCCCAGGGUUUCACUGGUUCGGAUCCUGGGUGUGGACAAGACACCGCUCAUCAGGCCACGCUGAGGCGGCGUCCUGCAUGCCACAACUAGAAGGAUCCACAACUAAAAAUACACAACUAUGUACUAGGGGGCUUUGGGGAGAAAAAGGAAAAACAAAAUCAUAUAUAUUCAUUAGAUUGGAAUUGUAUUGUGUAUAGUUCCAUGUUCCACCUUUUUUGUGUGAAAUUGUAAGUGUUUUGUGAGAAGGAGGGACUGUUUUUAAUGCAAAAGAAACUCUAGAAAACUUUUUCCUUAGGAAAAAAAAAAGCACAAAGCCCAGUCUGUGGUGGUUGGGAGGACAUCCUGAGGGCUGCCGGUCCGUCCGUCCGGUGUGAGCUCCAAGGCUGUGGCUCAGAGAAAGACAAGCCUUUCUCGCCUCUCCUGGCCAGGCUGCAGCCUCCUGCCUGUGGGCAAGACCGAGUUGCUGAGUCUGCACUCACCCUUCCUUCCUCAGCACAGGAUGUGUGAUCAUCCACUCCAUCCAAAGGCAGAUGGGGUUGUGGUCGUUAUUGUUUAUUAAUAACAAGGGCAUCUCAGUCUGUGCAGCACAGUGUUUUCUCAUGUGUUAUCUCAACUGAGACUCACGCUGUGAGGCAGAUAAGACAAGAGCUGUUACACCCAUUGUUCAGAUACAGAAACGAAGGCUACAAGAAAUCAAGUGGCUAAUUUGAGGCCACAAAGCUAGUAAGUAGCAGAGCAGGGAUUGUAUGCGUAUCUGGCUGACAUCCACUUUAGAGAUUUUUGUCUCUAAACUUUUUUCCCUCUAGUCCUAGCUUUUCCUGAGCCAAACUGCAUCCCCUUAGUGAGAUGAAGGACUGAGAGUGCUGUGAAUAUUAUAGGUAUGUGGAAAGGACACAGAACCCCGCUGUGGGACUUUUAAACCACGAGUGCAGGCUCUGGCUGGAUGUGCUGGGUGGCCUGACCUCAGGGCAGCUCCUCCAGGACAACUCGGAGCCAGCAGCUUCAGAGUUUUGAGGAGUGGGUUCAGGAGGCAGCUGUUUCCUGUAGACAUGACCAGCAGGGGCACUAUUCCUCAGGCAUCCUUCUUGACCCAUCCAAGCUAUGGAGGCCCAUUCCCUGCCCAGGGCAUGGGCCCAGAACAGAAUAGGGUCUUUCACAGAGGGACUGUAGAACUCUGUGAGACUGACUCUAACCAAGGGAUUUUGGGCAGCUGCAUCCCCCAGAUGGUUUCCCAGUAUUGCUACUGUAACAAAUUACUAUAAAUUAAGUGGCUUAAAAUAACAUAAAUUUAUUAUCUUACAGUUUUGUAGGUCAGAAGUCCAAAAUGAGCCUUACUGGACUAAACUCAAGAUGUCAGCAUAGCUGCAUUCCUUCCUGGGGGCUCUAGUAGAAAAUCUGUUUCCUUGCCCUUUCCAGCUUUUAGAGGCCACCUGCAUUCCUUGGGUUGUGGCCCCUUCCUCCACCUUCAAAGCCAGCAAUGGCUGCUCAAGUCUUUCAUAUAAUGCCAUCCUUCUGGUUCUGACUCUUCUGCCUCCUUCUUCCCUGUUUAAGGACCUUUGUGAUUACAUUGGACCCAUCUAGAUAAUCCAGGAUAAUCUAUUUUAGAGUGAGCUGAUUAGCAACCUUAAUGGCAUCUGCAACCUUAAUUCCCCAUUGCCAUGUAACAUAACAUAUUCACAGAUUCCAUGCAUUAGGAUGUGGAUAUCUUUAGGCCACUGUGGACCAUUAUUCUGCCUACUCCUCUGGGUUCCUCAGGCAUAGACAGCAGCCCUGGCCAGAGCACAGUCAGGAUGUGCUGCCACUGUCAGAGAGGUCCUAUUUGCCCAGGUCCCCUCCCACCUACCUGAUUCAGCUCAACCAGUCCUGGACUUCUCUUCUCCCAUCCUCUGCUCUCAGUCUUAGGUGGAGAAAAGCUGGGCAGCAAGUGCCAGGGAGCAUGGACACAAGGAAGAGGGAGAUGCAAGGCUGGAUGCACCAGGGCUGUGGGAGGCCCCUGGGGCCUGCACAGAGACCCUGCACUUUCCAAGGACUGGGGCCAGAGCCAGGAGGACUCAGACACUGAGGUCUAAAGGUAGCUCCAGGGCUGGAGAGGCAGGAGGCCAAGAGUUGGAGCCCCUCCACCUCUGCACCCCUGGCUGCCCUUGACAGCCAGAGUUCACCUGGUGCCUUUCCUCAGGUGGCAACUGCCUGUCUGCCUUUACUCAUUCCCUUUCCCCUCUCCUUCCCUGGGCCUCAGGCUGAAACCUUUGUGGGGCCAGAGGGAACAGGAGGCCCCUGCCGAGGCUUUGUCCUGGGCUGCUUAAUGAGGGCCUGGGGGAAUCUAUGGCCCAGCAGGAGGGCCUGUGGGCAGUGUAGGGAGGGGCUGGACAAAGCCUUUGUCCCUCUAAGUAGGGUGACCAAUUCACCCCAGUUUGACCAGGCCUUUCUCAGUUUUGGCACUACCCACAUCCCUGGAAACUCUUCAGUCCUGAGCAAACUGGGACAGUCUGUCACCCAACCGCCAAGGCCCUUUGCACCUCCUAAUGUAUUCUAGAUUACCUUUGCGGCCUGGACAGCUGGCCCUUUGGACUCUUGGCUCUUGGAUGCCAAUCUCUGCACGUUAUCUGUGUGCAGAGAGACCUGGGGGCUGAGGAAGGGCCCCAGGCCAGUGCUGGGGAAGCACAGACUGCUGCUUGCAGCAUUCCCAGCAAGAGCAUCACUUGAGACCAUGCCUGGGUCUGCAUGGGACAGAGCUCCUACAUAUGCACCAGGGAGUGAGAAAUUGUGUUUGCACUCAAUUGUCUAAAAAUUUAACAGCCUGAUUACUUCUGGGUGGUAUACUGCAGGUGGCUUUAAUUAAUGAUUUUAUUUACUCAUCUGUAUUUCUUACUCUGUACAAUUAAACCAUGUUCCUUUUACUUGUGUACAUUUUUAAUAAAAGAAAGUAAUUAAUGACUCAGG